rnacentral:rRNA from 1 species
CGUAUAUUAAAGUUGUUGCGGUUAAAAAGCUCGUAGUUGGAGUUCUGCCAGGUGCCACCUGUCCGCCCCAGUGGUGAGUACGUGGUGCGCAUUUGGCCCUUUCAAGGGGAGCGUAUUUGCACUUAAUUGUGUGGUGCGGGAUCCUUGACUUUUACUUUGAGGAAAUAAGAGUAUUCCAAGCAGGCUCUCGUCGUGCAUAGCUCAGCAUGGAAUAAUAGCAUUGGAUCUCGAUUCCAAACUGUUGGUUGUAGGAAACGAGAUAAUGAUGAAGAGGGAUAGUUGGGGGCAUUCGUAUUUAACUGUCAGAGGUGAAAUUCUUGGAUUUGUUAAAGACGAACUACUGCGAAAGCAUCUGCCAUGGAUGUUUUCAUUGAUCAAGAACGAAAGUUAGGGGAUCGAAGACGAUCAGAUACCGUCCUAGUCUUAACUAUAAACCAUGCCGGCUAGAGAUCGGAGGUUGUUCGUUUUGUGACGCCUUCAGCAUCUUGAGAGAAAUCAAAGCCUUUGGGUUCCGGGGGGAGUAUGGUCGCAAGGCUGAAACUUAAAG